GAUGAACGCUGGCGGCGUGCCUAAUACAUGCAAGUCGAGCGAACAUACGAGGAGCUUGCUCCUCUGACGUUAUCGGCGGACGGGUGAGUAACACGUGGAUAACCUACCUAUAAGACUGUUAUAACUUCGGGAAACCGGAGCUAAUACCGGAUAAUAUAUUGAACCUCAUGGUUCAAUAGUGAAAGACGGUUUUGCUGUCACUUAUAGAUGGAUCCGCGCCGCAUUAGCUAGUUGGUAAGGUAACGGCUUACCAAGGCAACGAUGCGUAGCCGACCUGAGAGGGUGAUCGGCCACACUGGAACUGAGACACGGUCCAGACACCGACGGGAGGAAGCAGUAGGGAAUCUUACGCAAUGGGCGAAAGCCUGACGGAGCAAAGCCGCGUGAGUGAUGAAGGUCUUCGGAUCGGAAAACUCUGUUAUUAGGGAAGAACAAAUGUGUAAGUAACUAUGCACGUCUUGACGGUACCUAAUCAGAAAGCCACGGCUAACUACGUG
rnacentral:rRNA from 1 species